GUGUGGUUUAAUUCGAUGCAAGCCGAAGAACCUUACCUACUCUUGACAUCCAGAGAAUUUGCUAGAGAUGCUUAGUGCCUUCGGGAACUCUGAGACAGGUGCUGCAUGGCUGUCGUCAGCUCGUGUUGUGAAAUGUUGGUUAAGUCCGCAACGAGCGCAACCCUUAUCCUUUGUUGCCAGCGAGUAAUGUCGGGAACUCAAAGGAGACUGCCGGUGAUAAACCGGAGGAAGGUGGGAUGACGUCAAGUCAUCAUGGCCCUUACGAGUAGGGCUACACACGUGCUACAAUGGCAUAUACAAAGAGAAGCGAACUCGCGAGAGCAGGCGGACCUCAUAAAGUAUGUCGUAGUCCGGAUUGGAGUCUGCAACUCGACUCCAUGAAGUCGGAAUCGCUAGUAAUCGCGGAUCAGCACGCCCGCGGUCGAAUACGUUCCCGGGCCUU
rnacentral:rRNA from 1 species